UUAACGGAGAGUUUGAUCCUGGCUCAGGACGAACGCUGGCGGCGUGCUUAACACAUGCAAGUCGAACGAUGAGGGCCCGGGCUUGCCCGGGUCUGAUUAGUGGCGAACGGGUGAGUAACACGUGAGUAACCUGCCCCCCGACUUCGGGAUAACCGCGAGAAAUCGUGGCUAAUACCGGAUAUGACGCCCCUGCCGCAUGGUGGGGUGUGGAAAGACUGUGUCGGUCGGGGGAUGGGCUCGCGGCCUAUCAGCUUGUUGGUGGGGUGAUGGCCUACCAAGGCCGACGGGUAGCCGGCCUGAGAGGGUGACCGGCCACACUGGGACUGAGACACGGCCCAGACUCCUACGGGAGGCAGCAGUGGGGGAAUAUUGCACAAUGGGCGCAAGCCUGAUGCAGCGACGCCGCGUGAGGGAUGACGGCCUUCGGGUUGUAAACCUCUUUCAGUAGGGAAGAAGCCUCUCGGGGUGACGGUACCUGCAGAAGAAGCGCCGGCUAACUACGUGCCAGCAGCCGCGGUAAUACGUAGGGCGCAAGCGUGUCCGGAAUUAUUGGGCGUAAAGAGCUCGUAGGCGGUCUGUCGCGUCUGCUGUGAAAACG
rnacentral:ncRNA from 1 species